GCAUUGCCCAAUAAUAACAUGAUCGCCUUCUUUCACAGGCAAACACGGAGAUAUGUGCGCCAGAAUAUUUGAAUGUCUCUUCUCAUAUCUGGAGCUGUACAGAAAUUCGAAUGCAGAACCUUUUGUAUUACAGAGAGCUCAGAAGCAGGAUCCAAUAGAGGCAGACGGUAAAUGAAAUCAGGAUGAGAAAAUUACCAAAUUGGUUGAUUAAGGAGUUUGAAAUCAAAUUGAGAAACGGAGAGAUUGAAGAUUUCAGAGACAGCAGGGAGACAUUCAAAUGCUAAAGAGAAAGAAAAGUUGAAUUUAUGUGUUCAAAUGGUAAAACACGAACAAAGAAGACGAAGAAGAAGAAGAUGGAAACGAAGAUAUUGUACGAAACUAAUGAAAAAUAUA
rnacentral:misc_RNA from 1 species